UUAGACCCCCCAAACACCAGCUCCCCGCUGUGCCCCCAAACCACCUCCUCCCCCCACUCUCACACACACACACACACACACAUAUACACACACACACACACACACACACAGCCUCUGCAGCACGAUGCCACGGGCCAGCUCUUCCUCCGGAGCAGCCCCGCGAGGCACGGCUCCGAGCACCCCUCUGCAGUCCGAACUAGAAGCUAAGUACUGGUGGGGAGGGGGGGCAGCUUAUAUUCAGGAGCAUCUUUUAUUCGAGUAAAUACAAUAGGUGUGUGGCUGACAGUCCUUGUCACCUUAUUCUGGACGAGAUUUCUGAAGAGUAUUUUUUAAUUCAGCAAAACAGUUUUUCCUCUCUCUCCCUUUUAUUCACCAUUUCUCCUUAUUCAGAACACUCACGGAUUCCCUAAAUUCUUAUGUUCUCUCGGUUUUCCCCCUUGCCCCCGCUGUCCCUAAGCACCGCCCCGGUGCCCUCCUGUGUCAGGCCACUUCAUAACCCCCUCACACACACACACGCACGUGCACACCAUGCCACCAAAUGCCUCUCAAACAUGACACAUGGUGCUGCAGGUGUCCCAACGACAGGUGUCCUCUUUUUUUGGAAUUGGAAAUUUGGUAACCCUAAAGGCUAGGCACUUUUACUGGAUUGUGCCAAUGCUCCUGCUGGGACUAAGGCUGGAGGGUCUUGCCCCUCUGCUUAGGGUCAGUGUUGCGUCAGGGUUGAUAGUAGUGUCACGUAGAGCUUAGAUUACUGUUUGUAUGGGAUAUUUUGGAUAGGGAUGUUCCUGCCUCAGGCAGGGGGUUGGACUAGAUGAUCUCUGGAGGUCCCUUCCCACCCUACUUCUAUAUGAUUGUAUGCAAGCUCUUCCUUGUACCCCCUACCGCAACCCCAUAUCCUAAACUCUGGAGCAGCCCAGUCCUUGUGCCUGGUGGCUCUUUUAACACCCCGCUCCACUGUGCAGACCCUGAAGCACCUCUCUUGUGGCCCCCUGUGUCAGGCUGCCCUAUAACACUCUGUGUGUGUGUGUGUGUGUGUGUGUGUGUGUGUGUGUGUGUGUGUGUGUGUGUGUGUGAGAGAGAGAGAGAGAGAGAGAACUCUAGCUCCAUCCCAGCCAUUCCCUGUCCUCACUGUCAAACCUGCCCCUAGCCAACCUGCCACACUCAAUCCUCACAACCAAAACCCUCACCUGCCACUGUUGACCACUCCCUACCACCAACCCCUCUUUGCUGCCUAUGCUACACUUCCACUCUCCCAACAAACAGUAUUUGCUGGUUCCACUUACUGCCACUGUUUGCAGCCCCUUCCCCAAGCUAUUUGUUCUUGCCCCCAACAUCUCUUUGCUGCUGCUGCAAACACUGAUCAGUCUACAUAAGCUUUUGCUUUUGUUGGCCACACUUUCUUCUGCGUCACUCUGUUUUGCCCUCCUUAUUUCUCUUUUGCAGCCACCCCCACCCCAUUUUUUCUUUUGGUCAGUGUUGUUAUCUAGAGUGAGCUUGAAGUUUUAAAAUAACUCAGCCCGGGAGGAGGGUGGGGCAUGCAACUGGAUUGCAUUUCGCAUUGUUGGCUUUCUUCCCAAUAGGAGGAGGAGAUUUGGCAGAAAGUAAUUUGUGUGUGCAUCACUUUGUAAUGCUGUCUGAACAAGGGGCACAGGAGGCAGAUUUCUCUUUCAGGUGAAGUAGCUCAUCCCUCUCCUUUUCUCUGCUGUUUCUUAUUUACUAGACCAAUUAUUUUCAACCAGGAUGUUGCGGUGCUGUGGGGUGCUAUGUGAUCUUUUUAAGGGUGCUGCAGGUUGCCAUACAAAUUUGAGGUCUGCAAACACCUACACAUGAUUCACAAGAUAAAGCCAGAGAUUUCAAAUAGCAAUUAAAAACAUUCUGACCUGUAAUGAUCUUUCUGAGUUCUUUGCAACAGAAGACUUGCUCUAUUUUUUUCUCUAGUCAAAAAUGAGUGACAGCUGAGAACUGGCAUUUUCCAAGGGGUGCCUUGAGACUCAGAAGUUUGAGAACCACUGUAAUAGAUGAACUUCAAGAAUUUGUGUUCUUUAGUUCUGCUUGUUGAGAUGCUGGGAGAGAGCAGGUGCAGGCCAGGCCUUUCAUUCAACAAUGGGUUCCAGCUCAAGUUUAAACAAGUUGGGCAAGCCUGGAGAUGAGUUAGAAAAAUAGUUAAUAACAGAUAUGGAAAACUUACCUAUCUAGGAGAAUGUGGACACAUCUACACAGGCAAUUAAUACACAUGAAUAAACUCUGGAGUUUAUUGCUCCAGAGUUUUUUUGCCCCCAGGCACACCAGUUGGAUGUGUGCCCAGGAGCAAAAAACUCUGAAGUAUAUUUCUCCAGAGUUCAUUUGUGUGCAGGACACCAAGCCUGGUCGGAGCAGCCCCAGCUGGCAGUAGCCCAGGGCUACUCCGACUGGGCUCACUGUGCUGCGUAGGGGCUGGCUGGGGCACAAGGGUGCUUCAGUGCGGAGCUAGCCAGACAACAGCCCCCACCCUGAAGCAACUUCAUGCCCCAGCCAGCUGGGCAGCAGCUACACAUGUACUGCUAAGCAUGAAAAAACUGUGCAGCAGGGUACUUGUAUUUACAGGGUACUUGUAUUUACAAGUACUAGCCUGCUCCACAGUUUAUUAGUUUCAUGCACCCUAAUAGGGGCACACCUGUAGAUAGAGACAUUUACUGUGGAGCUAAUUAGGCAGUUCUGCAGUAAACUUCUCACGUAGAUGUACUCUGUGCCACCAUAAAGGUGGCAUUGGUUCAUCUAGCAGCACUUGUCUGUGCAAAAAGUAAGAGUUCUCAUCUAGGAUGUUGUCUCAGGCCUACAGCACAGUACCAAAAAGAGAAGGAGCUGCAGCACUAGAGAUGCUUACCUUUGGAUGAAACCCUUGUUGCCUGUCUCUGCUGACUGCCUAUUUGAAAAUUAAGGAUGUCUUGAAAAGAGUACAUUAUAACUUCACUGUUCAAGUCCUGAACCCACAAUGAAGUCCAUAUAGGUUAAUAAUUAUUCUAUGGACUAUUUUCAAAGAUCAGGGAUUGAGGUAACAUUUACUCUCUCAAUAAUACAUUCUAAUGCUCAAGGUUCUAUAUAUGAGCUAGAGCCAAGUGCUACUCCUGCUGCACUGGACUGCGCAGUCACUGCACACCUAAUACCUAACUCAGUCACUACUUUGUAAACAGCUUAAGUGUAAAGGCACUAUAUAAAAAUAAGUUCUGCCUACAUAGAUACCAGACUUUGAUUAUUAUUUACAAUCCAUUGUCUGAUUUUUUUUUUUCACCCUGCUCCUGGUACAUGGAAAUAACAUUGCUGAUAUGACUCACAGUUUAGUACCUCUUCAGAUUUAGCCCCAGAUGUCUUCUGGUUGGCACAGUAAGGAAGGCAUUGAGAGCACUGAAGAGAGUGUCAGUCUCUUAGGUCUUAUUUGUAGUGUCAUUUUGAACCCCGGUUGACAGAGGAGCAAUUGCAGGAAAAGCCUACUCAGACUGUCAUUGUGGAGUGGAGCAUACUCAACGAAGACUGGAGCUCGUGAUUUUUUUUUGGUGAAUAGUUUACUGGCUGAAUUAUACAGUUCUGAGUUAACUGAAACUUCAUAGAUUUCAUAGACAUUAGGGCUGGAAGGGACCUCGGAAGAUCAUCGAGUCAAGCCCCCUGCCCAAAGGGCAGGAAGUCAGCCGGGUUCAUAGGAUCUCAGCAAGAUGAGCAUCCAGUUUGCUCUUGAAGGUGUUUAAUGUAGGCGCUUGAACCACCUCCAGUGGCAGGCUGUUCCAGACCUUGGGGGCUCGGACAGUAAAGAAAUUCUUCCUUAUGUCCAGCCUGAAACGGUCUUAUAGUAGUUUAUGACCAUUUGACCUAGUCGUCAUCCCUUGGGGCGCUCUGGUGAACAAACGUUCCCCCAGAUACUGGUGGUCACCCCUGAUAAACUUAUAGGUGGCCAUCAGAUCACCCCUGAGCCUGCGCUUUUCCAGGCUAAAGAGCCCCAGGGCUCUCAGCCUGUCAUCGUAGGGUCUGCUUCCCUGACCUCUGAUCGUGCGCGUGGCUUUUCUCUGGACUCUCUCAAGCUUCUCCACAUCCUUUUUGAAUUGUGGAGCCCAAAACCGGACACAGUACUCCAGCUGCGGCCUCACUAAGGCCGAGUACAAGGGGAGAAUGACGUCCCGGGAUUUGCUUGAGAAGCAUCUAUGGAUGCAAGCCAGCAUUUUGGUUGCUUUACUAGCCACAGCAUCUAGGCUCAUGUUCAUGAGCCUGCAGUGAGAAAAAAAAAUCAGCAAUUAGUUUCUGUUGAAUUAAAAAUGAAGGGAAAAUUUUUACAGUUAAAACAGUUAUUUCAACAUUUCUGAAAGAAAUCCUUUCCUUUUUUGUGUAAUCAACUGCUAAACAUAGGUUUUUCUCUUAGUUAUUUUCAGUUCAUGAAGUUCUCCCCCUCUCACUCUCACACUUAUAGGGGAUGUUCUUGUUAUCAGUCCCUAACUGCCUGACCUGGCAUUUGGUACCACUGAAUUUCAUCCCAUUUCUAUGACUCCAGUCCUUAAGAUCAUCAAGUACUUCCUGUAGGAUAUCCUAAUCCUCCUCUCUGUAUUGAGAGUGACUCACAGAUUUGUGCUAUCAGAACAUUUCAUCAGUACACUCUUACUUUUUGUGUGAAGUUCAUUAAGCAAAAUAUUAAACAAGAGCAGCCAGCCCUAGGACUGAUACUUGAAGACCUCCUGUCUAACCUGCUUUUCUUCUUUCAACACUAUCCACUGUUAUCUCAUUUUUAGCCAAUUCCUUAUUGCCUUACAAUUCUUCUCCUAACUGCAAAUUAAUAAUUUCUCAUGUGGCAUGAUGUCAUAUGCUUUACUGAAGUCCACAUAGGUGAAAUCAACUGCAUUUACUUAGUCUUCAAAAUCAGUUUAAUCUUGUCUGCACAAGAUAUCUACUGCAGAAUAGACUAAUUAGCUCUGCAGUAAAUGUCUCACGUCUACACUUGCAGCACUAUUAGGCUGGAGGAAUCUAAUUAACUCUGCAGCAGAACAGUACUUGUAAAGGAUGUAAAUACAAGUACUAUCCUGCUGCAGAGUUUUUUACUCCACAGCACUGCAUGCGUAGACUGAUGCAGCUGGCUGGGUCACAAGGUGCUUCAGUGUAGGGCAGGGGCGGGCAAUUAUUUUGGGUGGAGGGCCGCUUACUGAGUUUUGGCAAGCCAUUGAGGGCAACAUGACAGGCAGCCAGGGGCACAUAACUAUUAAUUUUCUAAAUUUUUUAGGGGCCCUGUGGGCCAGAUAGAAUGGCUGCAUCUGGCCCAUGGGCCACAUUUUGCCCACCCCUGGUGUAGGGGCUGCCUGCUGUAGCACCCUCAUGCCCCACCUCCCCACUGUAGCAUCCUCAAGCCCCAGCCAGCCCCUCUGCAGCAUGUUGAGGCAGGUCGGAGCAGCCCCGAGCUGGCAGGCUGACCCCUAAGGUUCCCUGCCAGCUGGGGCUUUUCUGACCUGGCUCAGUGCACUGCGGUCCUGGGCACAUGUUCAAACAGUACACCCAGGAGCAAUAAACUCCGGCACAAUAAGUGCCAGAGUUUACUGCCUCGAAUUGAUCUCACAUGUAGAUGAACCCACUGUAUCUGUGAUUUCCUAUGCCUUUCUUCAGAGGUUACCAAGCCCUCCCGAUUUGAGUGUAUUAAGCCAUUUGGCUCAGACCCAUAGAGCUAUUUAACUAUUUAUUUCAGUGGGAAUUAGGCACCUAAAUAACUUCAUGAAUGAGGGGUUUUGAGUUUUAUUUCCACCCCAGUUUCAGUAAUUUCUAUUUUUAUAUACCCAUUCUCAUUAGCCAUCUAGCCUUUUAUCCAUGUUCCUGUCCUCACUGAUAACUAAGACAAAUGAGACAAACAGUACAUUUAGGUUUGGGGCCAUACCUAGAUGAUCUUUAAUCAGUUUUGCAUUCUCACUGCCUAGGGUUCCCACGUCUUCCUUUGUUCUCUUUUGCUUACAUCACCAAAGGACCUUUGUUGUUUUUGUUGAAGAGUAACUGCAAGGUCCAACUCUACUGACUUACUUUAGUACUUACAUUUCUAUUUUCCAAACAAAAUGUUAGUUUUUUAAUGUUAGGUUUCCAAGGGGACUUAGAGCAUGUCUGUGCCUAUACCCCCUCUACAAUGAUCCCAAGAUGUCUGCAAAGAAACAAGCUUCAUCUAUGUGCUCUUGCUCUGAACAUACCAAUUGCCAAACAAUGUCAUGUAGUCACUUUUUAGUGUAUGCCCAGGCAUGCUUUCAGGAUCUCAGUCUCAGGUACUGUCAGAUUCGAAUAGUGACCAUAUGACAUUUUUUCAGAGCAAGGUAUGUGCAGGAAUUGGAGGACACAAGUUGGGCUUGUUUCUGAGGGGCAGUUUUGGCAUCAGUACUGAGGCAAUGUAAACAUGCCUUUAAAUAAGAAUGGCAAGAUUUGGGGGAGGGGGAAUAUCUUUUAUUAGAGCAACUGCAUAGUUGGGAAUGAUCUUAGACAAGCUUUUGAGCACAAGGUACCCUUUCUCAGGCCUCAAAAGAAGCAGACAUAGCUUGAAGAAAGCAGCAGAUAGAACAAUAAACAGCAAAAGUUCUUCUCUCCUAUCUAUAGAGUACAUUUGAUUCAAUAAAAGAUAAUGAUAUCACCCCAAAAAAUUCUUGCCUCCUGCACAUUUCCUGGACCAUCAUAGCUACAUCACUCCUACACUACCAGACCUUUAAAUGCCAUUCAAAACAAGAAAGGGCAAAGAGCUAGUGGCCUUCCACCCACCCUACAGUCCAGGAUCAGGUCACUCUCAUACCAAGCAAGAAACCUAGGUUCAUAUCACCUCUGCCUGAUUCAGGGCAGGAAAUUGAGCAGAAGUCUCCCAGCUUCCUGGCGCAUGCCCCAGUAGCCAUCAGACUACAGGAAAUUUUUGGAUGGAUGUUUCUUUUGAAGCUAUUCCACAUUGUAGAAAUAAUUAACUUUUCACUGGAAUAAGGAGUGGGACCCAGGUUUCUUCACAAGGUAGGUGCCUUAACUACCGGCCUACGGAGGAAGUCACUUACUCGCUUAUUCUCUAGCCAGUCAGUGAAUAGUUAAGUAUUUUAUACAAAGUGAUACUGUAUGAACUAGAGAGGUUGAGAGAACCUAGUCCAUAACACAAUAUUCUUAUUGCAAAUUCCUGUUCUGGAUCACGGGAUUUAACUGCAGGUCACCACUCAAGUGCAUCUGUCCUAACUAUACUAUAAAAAGGCACCAGCAUGCAGGCCUACAUAGCAUGAAUCUAGCAUUUAAUAUCCAUAUUUCCUUUAUUGGCUGUAAAAAUGUCCCUAAAGGCAUUGCGCUUUACUUUGGUUUGAAUGAAGCAUUUUGUUUGAAUUUGGAGGGUUGACUUGACAUAACAUCUUUAAAAAUCUGGUUUAGCUACAAGACUAAAAUAUAAAUUAUUUGUCCAGCCCUAAUGUAUAAAAUAAAUCUGCAGAGAAUGUAGCUGCCAAACUUUCACAAGUUUCUACUAACCAGGUAUGAAUUGAGAUUUUUCAGAAGCCGAUAAACUUAACCAUAUUUGAGUGAAUUUUCAUGGAGAUAGCAAAAGUAAUGUCCCUGAAAUAUGUGCAGCCCCUAUUCCAGAUUUCAAGCUCUUACUCCAAAGCAGAUAUACAGCUUGGGAAAUGCUAUUAGAGAGGUUGAGGCUUAGCAGAUUAUGUAGUUUGACACAUACUGCCCCACACAAACUGUAUGGGAAUGUUGGAGAACACUUUUCUAACCACAUCAUUUCCAGUGAUUAAAAAUAGAGGCACAGGAGGACACAGCUCCUUUAAAAACACUCUGGUUUUCCCACAGAAUCAAUACACGGCUGCAUAUGGGGAGUGUAUGUGUGUUUGUAGGCAGCAUAGCAGUAACAUAAUAUCAGCACUGGGCACUAUCUUAGGAGGGGUACCAGAAUCAGGCCCCGCUCCACAGAGUCAGCACCCCAGCAGCAGAAGUAGCCCCGUGGAGUUGCUCUUGCAGCAGCAGCUGAUGCACGAGCACUAUAUUGCUGUCAUAGGAGCAACAGCUGGCACGGGCAACCCACACAGGGGUGGAACACCCGUCCACCCACCUACCCUUUCAGUGCUCCAUAGUGCUUCCCUGCCCCUACCCAGCUCUCCCGCAGGGUUUGCCCAGCACACAAACCCUAUUUGUUACAUCCCUGGUGUAGAGGUUCAUUAAACAAAGCAGCUGUGGAAUAUGUUUCAUCCAUGUUACUUGAAAGCUUUAGCUACAAGACUAAAAUAUCAAGAUAAAAGAUAUCUGUGGAAGAUAAAACUGAGCAGAACACAAUGCAAUGACCCAGGCCUUUCACACAAGGAACUAAGGUGCAGAGAUGAUUGUCAAAGGUGUCAACUCAUUUUAGGCACUCACUCUGAGAAGCUGAGGACCUGAUUUUUCAGAAUAUGCAUCUUUUCAUAAGACUUGAUGUUCAGAGCACGGUACUUACUGACUUCAAUACUGCAGUAUUUAAAAUGGGUUACCCAGACAAUGAGGAAUAUGCAACACGUAACUAUGUAAAUAAUGCAAAGAGUUUUUGUAAGCAGCAGCUUACUUCAUCGUCAGAAACUCUGUGUGUGUGUGUGUGUGUGUGUGUGUGUAAGGUAUCACUCUAUCCUGCCUUCUGCCUGACUUCUAACAUGGCUAACUACUACUCUUUAUCUAUGCAACAUUUGGAAUAAGCAACUUGCUCAGUAUUACCAAGGAAAACCAUCACAGAAAGGAUUAGAAGCAAUUCCCUGGGCAUUCACUUAACUGUGAGGCUUCUGCCUUCAGUCCUCUGUGCAUUAACCAACUGCUGUUUUAUCGCUGGAAAUGAGGGUCCUUCACAUCACAGACUGGGUUCUGCCCCAGGACGCAAGCCAUUCUGAGCACCGAAUGAGGCACAGUUUCCAUGAAAAACAGGAUGUGAUCAUGUCUUCAGUUUGAGAAAGUUUGAAGACAUUGAUUCUAAUGGAAGAAACAAAUCUAAGGAAUCACUGCUAGUAAUUCAAUGGAUUCACAAUUAUUGGCCUAACAAAUGCCAGCAGGGUGUAACUAACAUCAGGCCUACUCUGUGUAUAGUCAAAAACACUGAAUUACCUUUUUUGCUGUUAAUGGGUUGGAUGCUGCUCCAAGCAGAGGUGGGUAGAGGGUGGAUGGUGAUGCAACUUGAAGCUCUGAACUGAACUAAACUUGUUGGUAAAGGAUGCCCGAUUCCUGGAAUGACGGUGAACUGUGCAGUAACUGGAAAAGCCAGGAAUGAUAUGAAAUUCAUAGAAAAUGCCAAAGCACUUGGGUGGAGAAAAUACCUGCUUCUAUCUCAUGCUGCUAGAUGGAGGUUUUGAUCGGAAGGAGAAAGGUAGAGUCAGUUCAUUGCCCAAGCAUGCAGGACACUGCACCCAACUGGAUGGCACAUCUCUGCUUGGAUAAAAUAACUUUUGCAUACUGUAUCCUGAUCUGUUCCCAUAUUUCAGGGAAUGUUCUGUGCAUCAAUGGGCCGAACACUAAAGAUUCUGGUGAGCAGCAGAAAAGGAAGUCUGUAUGUAUAGAGGAGGAACACAGACUCUAGCAACAGCUUAGCAGACCUACCUCUGUACUUGAUGGCCAAUGGUAGCUGUUGCAUCCUAAUUAUAGGCUUAGCUUAGUUCAACCUAGCUUUUCAUUAUAAACUAAAGAUAUUGAUGUCCUGAAAGAAAAGAAGUAAUAAUGGAGAAUAUACCUGCACUAGGGGCAUUUCACCUGUGUAGACAUAUGGAUAUGCUGCACUGGCAAAGGUCCUGCUGUAGCAGAAAGCCCCCUUUUCCUCUUGCCUGCAUUUGCUCUCCCCUCUUUGGAUAUGCUUCUCUUUUUCUACCUUUUCUUCCUUCCUCUCUCUUUCACUUUAAGAUAAGGAAUUGUGUUUUAAAAUUUGUAUGUGUGCAUUUUGUAUCUGCCCUUGUAGUUUGGUAUUUUUAUCUAUUUGUGUGCCAUGGCAUUUGUAGCUUAUAUUUUAUACUCCUCACCUUUCAACUAAAUGUGUUUUAGUAAGUUAUACAUUGUAACAAUGUUAACAAGGGCAGGAAUCAAACUGUCCUUCUCUGUAUCAGACUGGCCCCUGAAAGAGCCAGUGAAUCAGUGACUGAAUGUGUAACAAGGUAGCACACAGCAAUUAACACCUGGGAAGCUGCAGAUCAACCAACAGAACUCAAUAGAAGACAAUGUAACAACCGGGAAUUCUCUAAACCUCACUGAUCAAGGGCUAGAAGCCCUGGCCUGAGUUAAUCAAUGCCAGGGACCAACUUUUGGGCUGAGUAUCUCCAGAUCAACUGCUCCCAGAGCCCUAUUUAAAAUUCAUCAACGGACUCCCAAACCUGCACAUACAUGCGGAUGACCCCUGGGGCUGACAGAUGCUGUCCAGUAGCCACCGGGGGGGGGGGGGGGGGGAAGUCCCACGAGGGUCAACGACCCCUGGAUUGGGCAAACCUGAGAACUGGGGAGUCACCAAAGUCUGCCAGGGACAGAUAAAAGGCAGUAAAAAGUGACCAUCAGGGGCGCCCUCUUGAUCUCCAACUUGACCAGACCUGUCCAGCCAGAAGGACCAGCCGGCAACCCCCUUCUGGAAGAUAACACCAUGCUGAAAGAAGCCUCAACGACAGACUCCAGCGCUUGUAGGAUAGGUAUACCUGACUCUGUAGCCUGCUACAUGUGCUACAUGUAGCCUGUGCAUGUGUGUGUGUGUGGGCACCAGCCCCAAGGUUUAUGA